rnacentral:tRNA from 1 species
GGGUCCGUAGCUCAGAGGAAGAGCGCCUGACUGUUAAUCAGGAUGCCGCAGGUUCAAGCCCUGCCGGACCCGCCA